rnacentral:lncRNA from 1 species
AACACAUUUAAGGAAUGACUGUAAUAUUUUUUCUGUCUAUGAAGAAAUAACAUAAAAAAUUUGGUGCACACUGAAUAACGCGCGUAGCGGGUUAUUUAACAGUGUGCACCAUAUUUUUUUAUGUUAUUUCGAAUAGACAGAAAAAAUAUUACAGUCAUUUCUUAUAAUUUAAUUCUAAAUUCCAUUUUAAACCGUAGAAAACCAUGAAAAACCGUUAAUGACGUCGCGGUAACAUGACUAAAUUAUGUCUAUGGGCUCAUAACAAAAUAACGUCAGCCAAUCAGAAGAC